rnacentral:lncRNA from 1 species
UAGAGCUGUCUCCCCACAGAAAAAAGAAAUCAAAUGCUAAGCAUCAGCAUAAUGUGUUCACAUAUGGACAGAUUCUCCAUUAGCAAAAAACCCAGGUAUUCUGUUUCCAGUGAGACAUUGUAGCUAGGCUGCACCCAAUCUGUGAAAAGCACAAGCUGCCUGUGAACACUUUGUGUGCUUAUUAUCAGUAUUUAAGACACAUCUGCUUAUCCUCACUGUCACCUGUCUGCUCCUAAGAAAAAGUAUCUGAGGGCUACCCUUUAUUUGAAAGUCAAAUGUAUUUCUGUGUCUUUGCUACAUCAAUUUUACUUAAAAGACUUAAUUCUCCAAAGCCAAAAUGACAAAAUCCACAGCUUAGAGUCAUUUAUUAAAAUUUAAACCCUUGAUUUAAAUGAAGAAAGCUGUUAGGGGAUCCUGUAGUCCGUGAUUUGAAGACAAUUAUUUAUUCUGCAGGGAUAAUAGUGAUAAUUUAAAAUGUUCCCUCUUUGCCUUUAAUAGAUAGUAACUAUAAUCAUAGAAUUUCUUCUAAAGUCUUUUUCUGCUUUUUGGCAAACUACAUAGCAGAUAUAAACCUACCUCUUCCCCAAA